CAUGGACCAAAGAUCUGAUUCCACAGACUUGAUCUCACAAUUGCCUUCAAUUCAAUUUUAUUUUGCUUUGUUUUAUGACUGGCACUUUCAUCAAUCCGGCUUGAAACUUUUCUCUUUCUCUUUCUGUGACAAUUUGGAGCCUGUGACGUACACUCAAUGAGAUCAGUUGACUUGUCCGUAACUAAAAAUUUCUUCUCACUCCUGGUUAAAGGUUGUUUUGUCAUUCUCGAGAACUCAAGAGAGAACCAAUCGGCC
rnacentral:misc_RNA from 1 species